GUUCGCCACAAGCGGGCCUCGACGAGGACCGCGACCAGGGCGACGCCCGAGUAGAUGCAGAGACACGCCCUGGCCAGGGCCGUCCAUCCGCUCCGGUGCCGCGCCGGCGAUGCGCAGCACCACUGGCAGAUCCGUCGGCCCUCCAUCUCGCCCGUGCUCGUGUUGUUUGUUUGUGUUGGUUUUCUUUUUUUCUUCUCUUUCUUCUUUUUUAUUUCCUUUUCUCCUUGUGAUUUUGUUUUUUCUUUUGCGCAGUCCUUGGUGGCCCGUUUGUCUUCUGGGACUUUUUCCCGUCUCUUCCCUCUCCCUUUGUGGGAGCCCCAGCGCUCUUCUCUCGGCGUCGCUGCGGUUUGUGCUUGCGUCGCUCUUUUGUUUUUUUUUCACAGCGCCACGACGCCUCACUCUGUGAUUGGACGCGGUCCAAAACGGCCCCUCGAAAAAAUAUACAAAAAGUAUUUCUUC
rnacentral:lncRNA from 1 species